rnacentral:lncRNA from 1 species
GUUGACCAAAAUAAUUGGACACUGUUUGAACAAACCAUUGGGGAAUGAUCGUGUAUAAAUAGAUCCUUCGUAAAUGGUUACUCACACAUUCAUAUUCAUUCAAUCAUUGAAAAAAUGGCCUCAAUCUUAAAAGGAGGAAGACUUACCUUGGCUCUUAUCAUCCUCAUCGUCAUUAGUUCAUCAUCUCACAUCAUUACAACCACCGCCACUGCUCGGACUCCAUACAACCAUGAACGCCAACUAGGUUCGGUUUUCUCUAAACAUCUCAUAGUUAAUAAUAAAAAAAACGCUAAUAGAAGCUGCUCCGGUAUUUCUUAUAAAUUAACUAAGGUUGCAUUGUAAAUACGUGUAGUUAAUUUUUUUUUUCUUUUAAAUAAGAAAACAGUUUCAUUUUAUCUUACUUUCGGAGUUGUAGGGUUAUAUUCUUAUGAUUUUGUUUUCUAUAUUUAUUUCAUUCGUGUAAUUACUAUCAAUAGUCAAUAGCUAAUUUGUUUUCCAUUCAUCACCGGUUUUCCAGAUUUUCUGAUCAAACUAACCUUAAUUAUAAUAUAUAAGAGGCAUAUACAACUUGUCCAUCCCUAAAGAUUAAAAAUAUUAGAAAUUGAUGUAUGCAGCUACAAAUUGCGAUUAUGACCCCAUACAACAAAAUGAUGGACCCGACGGGUGUGGAAGUGGAAGUGGAAGUGGAAGUGGUGGAUCACCAAAACCAAAACCAAUACCAUGCGGUUCAAUGCCAGGUAAGAGCCUUUGUAGGAAGGGUUGCUGUGGAAAGACUAAAAUGGGAAGGGCCGAAUGUUGCUAGUAGUACCGGAGGUUGUACUACAUCAAAUAAUGUAUCUGAAUCCAUUGUCUAGAUCAGAAAAUAAUAUUUCAAAUCAUUUCCACCCUUUUUGACUGCUUUUACCUAAAGUCGUAUAUGUAUGAGUAUGUCCACAAUAAUUUUAUAUACAGAUGUUGUUCGAAAUGCUGUUUUAAUCUCGAGGAAAAGAUUCUAUCAUUAUAUUUGUCAAGAUGGUUCACAAGUUUAGUAGAAGAAAAAAAAAAUCAAACAUUGGCACAUGGCUGGCUAUCAACUUUCACAAGCGGCAUGAGCUUCAUCCACAUAACUUUGUACCACAUGGAGUGUGUACCAUAUCGAUGGUCACUUCUUUGUGUUGUGUUUUAGAUCCCAUAAUGUUGGUUAAUUUUAAUUUUGAUUCAAAAUGGAAAUAUAGGAUGUGUGUAUAGUAAGGCCAAUAUUUUAAGACUCUGACUAAGCCUUAAAGGUCUCAGGUCUGCAACACCGAUGAGCCUCUCUCUCUUUCUCUCUCUCUCUCUCUCUCUCUCUCUCUCGCUCUCUCUCUCUCUCUCUCUCUCUCAUGUGUAGAGUACUCAGUAUUUAGUGUGACAGUGGUUUUGGUUGAGGUGGAAGAAACCCACGCCCUUUUCACGUGGGAAGUAUCCAAAGUGCUACGUCAACAUGUCAUGCAACUACGGUUGACCGGUUAGAUGGUCAGAAUUACAAUAAAUUAGUAAAAAAAGUGUCCAAUUUGAAAAAAAAAUCUUUGUCAAAAUCAGAUUUUUAUGAAAACUUAAUUAUGAUAAUUUGCAAUUUUUAAAAUUUUAAGAACCUAAACAUAAAUAUCAAGGGUUGCGUAGAACCAUAUUUAUGAUGUAAACCAAAAAGUUGACUUAAUGUCGAUUUUACUUGACUUGAUGUCUAUUUGACAGAGUAAUUAAAGUUGUAGUGCAACAUAAACCAAGCACACUAAUAGAAACAUGUGCUCAAAAUACACAUCGUUUAAAGUUUACGCAAAAUCAAAUGAGCCCCAAACUGAGGUAGAAGAUUGACAAUGGUAUGUGGAGCAUGUGAAUGAUGGAGAGAGAUCAAAGCAAAAAUGUUGCGGAAUCAUGACAAGUGCCAUUUUGGCUUCUAACAAGGCAAAAUUCAGUCCAACAAAUAUACGUGGACCACCACCAAAAGGGAGAUAUGAUGUUUGUCCCUUGGUCACCUUCGAGACACCUUCAGAAAAUCUUUCAGGCUUGAACUCGCUCACAUCAUCACCCCAUAUAUCACGAUCAUGGUGCAUAAGCAUAAUCUGCAAUUGGUGGAAAGUUCCAUCUGGUAAUUUUAUGUCCCCUAAUUUGGUUUCCUUAUGUGUCAUUCGUCUUACUGCCGGUGAGUAUAGUCUAAGAACCUCAUGCGGAAUCAUGCUAACCUGGAAAACAUAAUUGGAGAGAAACGAAUAUAUAGCAUCAUAGGAGGAUUGUCACAACUAGGAAUUCUAAUGUUUUUGUAAACAUUAACAAUGAUGACAUUUGUGACUAAAACUUGAAAACAUGCAUGAUUUUUAUUCAAUGACAACAAAAUUCCAUCAAACACUCUAUGCAAACACUUCAAAUGGUCAACAAAAGAUUGGAAACCCCAAAAAUCCCGGUUUAAGUCCACUAUGGACUAGGAUUUCCUUAUUGGGCCUAAUGGACCAAUAACCUUCCAAUUUGACUAUUUUGGGCUUAGGACCCUUAAAUAGGCCCUAAUUGGACCCACUUUCAUGAAACUUAACAUUUUAGGCCAUAAUGAAUCCACAAUGAAUUGGUUUGCCUUAAUGGGCCUUAUUGGGCUAUAACUAACCUAAUUAGCUUUCAUGAACCAUAAAUCCAUUCGUUUAUACAAAAUUGGGUCGUGAACUACAAUAAAGGCCCAAUGGGCCGAAAAUCUUGUCCAUAAACAUUAUAAUCUCAAACCAAGGAUUUAAGUGGGCCAAACUAAUUCAUUCCCUCCUUCCUUUGUUAGCCCAUUUCGGCCCAAGUAAGAAAAAAAAAAGAAUGAAAGAUUUAUCCAUGCCACCUCAUUUUUACAAGAAGGAUAACCAAGCAUUAUACUCAACAUAUAUCCAUGCAACUUCGCAUGUCUCCAUGCAACUAUCACUUCACUUCUUUCUCUCCUCUCUCUCUUUCUUCUUAUCUUCGGCCGAGGCUACCCAUACACACAUCACCUUUGCAAAUUACUUCAAACUCUCUCAAUAACAUCUUCAUGCUUCCUCCAAAUUUUCGAGAAUCAUAAGGGCUUCAAGAAGAAUUUCAUCCAAAAAUCACUUCCAACUAUAUACUAGUGGUAAGAUCUUGCAAACACGUUUUCCUUCUACACUUAAUCACUUUUCUUACAACCUUAAAUUCUUGAUCAUACUCCAUAGAACCCUUCAAAUUCGAGGACACUUCAAGGAGCUUGUUAGGGCCAAAAACAACACCAUCUUCUUCCAUUUGUUCUUCAAAACCAUCAGCAACCAAGCUAGGUGAGUUCAUACCCCCUUGUUUUCGGUUUUUACUUGUUUUUUUUUUUUUUGGGGGGGGGGGAGAAUACAAGUGUUAUGUGUUGAUCUAUGUGUGUUUGCAUGUAUUAUGUGAUUUCUUUGGUUUUUGGUUGUGAUAAUAUGUUAAUACUUGAGAUAUUUCGAGAUCUAUAGCAAAAGGGUGAAAGAAUCAUAAACAAAAACAUAAUAAACAACAUACAUCACAGAUCUAAGGGUCCUUAAGUUUAAUAAGUAAAAAACAAAGCCAAAGAUCUUUACAAGUGUCAUUUUGCAAAAAUAACAAAGAUUGGGUAAAAAUUGAAAAUUUUCGGUUUUAUCAGGGUUAUAAGGUAUUUAUUUAUAUAAAAGCUGAUUUUUAUGAAAAUAAUACUUUUUAAAGGGUCAAAAACAUAAAUUUUAGCUUAAUGGGCUUAAAUUUGGGCCUCACGAGUUUUGGGCCCAAAGUUGCGAAAAAUGAAGAAUUUGAGCGGCUGAAAGGGAUAUCUUAACAAACUAUGAGUCUAAAACGUAAAUAAACUAUUUCAGGGGCUGAAAAUGAUUUGAUGCAAAAAUUGGACUAAAAAUGCAUAGUUUUUUAUUUUUGGGUCAAAAUUGUAAAACUUAUAAAAUUUGAGCCAAAAACGUAAAAUUUUUACAAAUAAACGUUGGAAAUGAAAAAUACAAUAUUUUUGGGUUGAAAUUAUUAUUUAAAUAAAGUUUGGGUCAAAAAUGUCAAGAAAAAAUGGUUUAAGGACCAAAAAUGUCAAUUUUGAAAAAAAAAAGAGAGAGACUAAAAGUGCCAUUUUUAUAGAAAAAGAGGCUGCAAUUGUCAAACUAAAUGUUUUUGUGCCAAAUAGACAAUUAUAAAAUUUAGGGUUAAAAAUAUCAAGUUUAUAACGCAUNCGAAUAGUUUUUCAGAAAUUAGUUUGUAGAGAUGAUUAGUUCUUUUAUGCAAAUUGACUACUACACCAAAUAAAUAGUGUGUGUGUUAAAAACUCAAUUCAAGGUAAUCUUAAAAACUUUCAUACUCAACGCACAUGGCUAUAUAUUCAAUGUACAUUAACAUUAACUCAAUCCAUUCAAUUUAGACUCAUCCACAACGUUACAAUGUUAUAUAAUACCUUUAAUAGCAAUAAAACUAUAAGUCGGCGAAUAGUUUAUUUCGGAAAUUAGCUUCUUUUCGGGAGACACUGAUUAGUUACAAUUUAACGGUUAGUUUGGUAUAAAAAACAUAUCAAAUUAUGAAUAAGACACAAUAUAUUGUAAAUUAGAGUUUAGAAUUUAGUGUUUAAUGCCGAGGGGAGGGGGUUCACUUAAUAAAUAUAAGUAUGCUAUAGUUUUAGUUUUAGAAUAUAAUAUGUUACUUUGGGUUAAAAAUAAAAGUAACAACCGUUAACAUAAAUAACUACAUUGGUGUUAUGGUUUACAAAUGAAUCUUAUGUUACUAUUUAUUAAAAUGAAAAUGUUUGUUGUUAUUUUAGGUUUAAGAAAGUUUGGAAGUAAAGACAUAAAAAUAUGAUUAUGUUUUACUUUAAAUGUGACAUAUAUUUUUUGGGGUUAAAGAUAAAAAUACCUUAUAUUUUUUGUAUAAAAACAUGUUUAUAUCCCUUUUUGUUAAAAAGAUAUACGUUUAAACAGUUUAUUUACUUUAAUUUAUUUUUUUAAUAAAUAAGUUAUUUAGUGAAAUAAUUUAAUAUAAUUUAUAAAAAAAAAAAGUCUUAAAAUCAUAUGUAUACAAUUGAUAAUUUAUUAUUGACAGUUUUUAAAUCUUUUUUAAUUAUGUUUUAUUUAAAGCAAUUAAAAAAACUAAAAUUGCUUAUUUGCAAAUAUAACGAAAUUAAUAUAAUGGGCUUGAAUUCUUUUGGAGACAAUGGUCUACACCUUUUUUUAUUAUCACAAAUUAAGAAAGAAAUUUAACACGGCACAUUGCAAUUGACUAUCAGACUAUGUGCACCCUAAAUGAAAAAUAAAUAUUAAAAUAAAUUUUAUCAAAAACCAAAAAAAAUUAUUGUCUUCAUAAUUAAACAAACACACAAGUUAACUUCUAAACAGUUAUCAAAACAGAAAAAAAGUCUUUAUUUCUCUUUUUGCUACCUAUUUGUUGCACAUAAAACCAAACCAUUUCCUUGCAAUUACUAAAAAGGAAAUGAGGAUGUAGUUUACAAAGUUGGCUAAUUCAUAAAGGAAACCGAAUCACAUUAUGAAAACACAAAAACCUAUCACACCAUGUUUUGUUCCAUCUACAUCUUUUUGCAUGUCCUGUCUUCCCUUCAGCAUUUGCUACUCCAUUUGGUAUUUUUACAACUGCAACAUAUUCAAAAUGAAAACAAAACCCCUCAAAUUUACCAUUGAUAAAGAUACUAAGACUCCAUUCCACUUAUAUUGAAAGUUUUUUAGUGAAUAAUGGGAUAAUUGUUUUCAUACUUAACAUAUAAAUCAACUAUCAACAAAAAAACUAAAUAUGUAGGUACCGGGAUAAUAAAUCGAUGAAGAGGACGGUAAUGUCCAGAUCUGUACAACCAAUAGAAAACCCAAAUCAAUUAUUAACAACAAAAAAAUCGAUUAUAUCCUCUGUGUAUCUGCCAAGAGCGGUUCCAUCAGGGGCGUUUUUGUCUAACUAAGACCAAAAAGAGCAAAAUCUCUAUCCAACCCCACAUUGUUAUUUCUAUAUCAAGGGUGAGAGAAACAAAGCACCAAAAGGGAGCCAAACCAAAUAGAAGCAAUAGUCGCAACAACUAACAAUCAGAAAAAGACAAACAACCAAACAUCGGUGGAACGCCAAAGAAUAAAGGAAACAUGAACAUAAACAACACCGCCACCAGAAAGAGAAAGAGAAAGUCACGACAUCACCAACACACCACAUCACAGCAGACAGACCAAGCAAACAGACCAGAACGACCUUGGGGAAGAAAAGUCCAAUACGAAACCAAAAAGCCAGAAUGCAAGAAAAGCACCACCAUAAAAGCCUAUUGGGAGAUAUCGAUCAGGACAAGCUGUGGGAUAAAAUGACGCCUACUAAAAGUUGUAAUGAACCAUAACCAAAGAAACAAACAAGGGCAAAAUCAAUAAACUGCAACAUGCACCUCUCCAAACAACUUGAAAAACACCAAACCACUAUACAUUAGAUCUGCAAAACAACCGAAAGUAGAAGAAAAAAACACGCACACACCAAGACCACCCCCCCCCCCUAAAAAAAACGACCCAUGAAGAAAAAAACAUACAUGAAGAAAUAUCAAGAUGCAACAAAAAAACCAACAAAAAGUCUACCCUAAGCCGAUAUGACACUAGGUGGAUCUUUGAAAAGUUAGUGUCAUAAUAAUUAUAAAAAAAAUGCAAAAAAGACUAAAUUAAAGAAGGCUUUAUCCACUUCGUUAUCUAUUUCUUAGUGAAUUACCAAAACCUCAUCCUAUCUUUAUUACAAAUUAAAGAUCUCAGGCUCUUAGUGUGGAUAUAUCAAUGAAACAGAGAACCUAAAAUAGGAAGCAAAUGUAGAUUAAUUUUUUUAUGCAAUCCUAUAUUCUACAGAAGAUUUUAACUAAUUUAUAUUAUUGUAAAUGCAUCAUUAAAAUUAUACUGAACUUUUAAUAAUUAUUAAUUUGCACUUCAUACAUGAAAUAAUACCAAUUACAUAUAUAUAUAAACAUAUGAAUAAGGAUGGAGGAGUUACCGGUGGAUAAUGUGAUCCAUAAUUCCAUAUUUGGCUUUCGUUUCUACAAACAUUGAAGAAGUUGUAUCAAAAGAUGAAUUUAAGAUACUAACCGUUCUUGGCUCCCUGUACAAAAAGGAAACGAAAAUGAGUUUAGAAAUCUCAUUAAAUACCUGUAAUUUACUUAUUUAUUCAAAUAGAUAACUUGAAAAGUCAUUAUAAUGACAAAGUCACUAUAAACUCCUAUUUAAACUCCUAUUUAAACAAAGUCACUAUAAUCUCUCGUUUACUAUUUCAAUUUCAAGAUAAUGACAAAGUCACUAUAAACUCCUAUUUAAACAUAUCUAAACCGACCUUAACUAAGAGUAUGACGAAAAUGCCCCUGUUAAGCACCUUAACUACAAAUACUACACCUUUCACAUGUCUGUCAGAUCACAGGCUCCCAAUCUUAUUUCCUUAACUAUCUCACGCCAUGUGUAUCUCUAUUCACCAUAAUGCUAACAUAAACCAUUGACCAAAAUUAGAAAAAAAAUAAUUAUUUUGAUUUUUUAAGAAUAUUUGAACCAGCCUCUUCUCGUUGAAAAACAUAACACAAAAAAUCACUGAACUAAAAAAGACAUGGUCAAAGUAAAUACAAGUGACAUUAGGAAAGUCCAAGGCUACUGAAACUAUUUUUAAUAAGCAACUCACACAUAUUCAAGAUGGAUUGCAGAUAACAUGUUAUUUAUUGUCCAUCAAACAUUGUUAAAAUCACGUCGCUCCUAAAUCGUGAAAUGCGCUUACCACAGUUGCUUCUGACAGCACAAUUGAUUAAUCUACGAGUCGUCAAAUUGCCUAAGGACAAUAAAUAACAUGAUUAAAUGCAUAAUCCAAUUAAUCGAGUGAAUUGCACAAAGAUAAACGAAGAGCAACCUCGAGAGAACCUGUAAUGGUGAUGAAUGGGGAAGAAGGGGGAGACGGGGGAGAAGAAGGCGAUAGAGUAGCCAUUCCUGUGUUUGCUAUUUCUAGUAUUUUAACUCCUUGUUGGGUUAAGGAAUCAGAAAAAGGGUUAUAUAAUAAACCAUACAAACGUGUAAACUCGGAUAAAGGUCGAAUACUCACAGAUCAAGUAUUGCAUCCUUGUUUUCUUCACCGUUAAUGACCUCGAUUGCUUCAAGCCUGACGAUCGGAGCAACCUGAUCCCCGGUGUCUUCGUCGUCAGCAGCGGCUUCCUCCUCCUCUCUGUGUUCGGGAUCAUUGAUAGCCAUUAUAGUCACGGAUCAAAGAUGCUGAGACCUGAGAGCGUCUGUUAGGGUGAAAAUCGAAGGCGGCGGUGUCUUCGUCGUCAGCAGCAGCGACUUCCUCCUCCUCUCUGUGUUCGGGAUCAUUGAUAGCCAUUAGUUGAGGAUCGAAGAUGAUGAGUAGCAUUAGUCUCCAUUACAGAUCUAAAAAAUCAGAGGUUUGAUUGAUCUGUUCAUCACCGCCUCCGUAUGAAGUUAGGAAAGGGGCAUCUUUGGUGGUGUCGAUGUGAAUACAUUAGAUGGCAGUGUGUUUAGGGAUUCCUUGUAUUAGGGUGUAGUAUAUGAUCCGUGCAGCGUAUAGAAUAAUACGUAUAAUGCUUUAAUAUAUUGUAAAUGAGGUAAUAUAUGUUGUACCUCUUAAUUUUCAAGAAAUGGGCAAUAUCCUUAAUAAUAUAUAUAUAUAUAUAACUAAAGCUUCGUUAUAAAUGAAACGUUAAGAUACUUUUAACAUUGCGAAAAACAUUUAGCAUACAACAAAUACCAAUACUACGAACAUAAAGUCGAUAAACCAUAAAUGAUUCAAUGACUGGGCCCAAAAUCUUCUGCUCGUGCUAUUUGGUCUUUGUGGCCCAAUAUCAUGAUUAUUGGGCCCAAUGUAUUCAAACAUGUUUAUUGGGUCUUGUUGAUCCAAUUACAUGCCUAAUGGACCCUCAAUGGCUUUUACAUGCUAUUGGGCCUUAGUGGCCCAUUUGCAUUUGCUAGUAAGGUCCAAAUCAGUCAUAGGCGUGAUUGGCUAACAUGUCCGCCGUAUACUCGACACCCUAUAAUAACAUACAUGAUUAGUAGGUCUCUGCAGCCCUCUUCUCUUCGUCUAUUAGACUUACCUUUUAUUCAAGUAAACAUAAAUCAAGUUCUAAACAAGGUUAUUCAAUAUCAGUUGGAUUUAGUGGGAAAUAACGGGUGACACCAAUAAAUAUCGGUCGUAGUCUGUAGUUAUAACCAAAGUCUCUUGGAGGGAGAGCGAGAGUUUGUGUAUAGGUCUAUACGGGUGUGACUCCCCCACACCUAAGUUGUUCGCUACAGUUAGACUUGGCCAGUCUAGGGUGACAAAAUCUUGAUCAAAACCGGAGUUUGGAAAAAUGUCAAGACAGGCGAAUUAGUCAUUAUUAUGCAUGGUUAUAAAGACUCACAUAGAGAUCUAACACCAUCUAAGUAAUCAUGGGAAAACAUAUUCAUUCGUUGUGACGAUUUAAUAAUACAAAACUGUCAUACUACUUAUAUCAGAAAACAUCGGGUUUUCCGGGGGAACAACAUUAUUCACUCCUACAUACAACACUAUAAUACAAUAAUCAAUAAUAAUCACUUUUACUUGUUUUGAAAUCACAUACAUAUGCACUCAUGGGAUCAUCGCAUCUUUUUUGCAAACAGUUUUUGUACAGAAAAUAUCAGAUUUUCUGGGUUUUACAAACAAUACAAACUAAUUUUAUGCUUAUGAACUCACCAACAUUAUAUAUGUUGACGUUUUUAAAACAACUUGUAUUCUCAGAUAACAGAUAAGCUGAAGAAAGUUAUCAAGUGUGUUAGGAUGUUAUGUUUUGUGACUCUCAAACAAUUUAUGUUAUGGAUAUGUAAUAUUUAAAUAAUGUACUUGAUGUGAAGAAUGACAGUUGUACUAUGUAAUGUUGGUGAUGUAUGUGUUUGUUCAUGUAUAUUCACUGUGAUGGUAUUCAAUUGCUAGUCACACGAGCCCUCGGACGUUUUCGCCGUCUGGUUCGGGGGUGUGACAGGUUGAUAUCAGAGCCAGGUGUAUAGUGAACUCGCAUAUCUAACCACACAUUGAUAUGCAACUAUAAACCCAAAGAGGGACUAAACAACUCUGAACAAAACAAAUAAAUUAUAAUAAUAAACACUCUUACUUGUGCGACUUAGGAAAAUAAACAUAAUAACAAAUCAAAUAAAAUGAUUUGAAAAUCCUGACAUAUCGGUUAAGCCAGGACUGUUCAUAGUUGUAUUAAGGGGCGAAUGUAGCCUGGUCAACUACAUUUCCUCCAGAAUACAACUAUCACAUGCCCUGGGGCGAUCACGAUGGUCGGUAAACCUAAAACAUACCCUUUUAUUAACCAAGAAGAGAACAUCAACUUAAUUUAUAUGACAACUAAAACAUCUUAGGGGUAAUAAUAGUUUAUUUAUAUACCCUCCUUGUGUAUUCCUCAUCAUAGUCACUAUGGAAGACGAGCAUCAAGGCAUUCAGUUUCACCAGGCCUUGGUGGCCCACGGAAUGAUUGAAGACGACCCCGAGGAAGGACAAGGAGCAGCUCAUGACAUUGGACCCGACGAGUACACCGAUACAGAUUACGAGUAUGAGGGGACCGAUGACGACAAGGAAGAAGAAGGAGACACAGACGAAGCCUACGUUGAAUCACCUACCGACAAAAUGGACCAGGACCAUCCUGACCCACCAGGAAACCCCGUGGGAGAGGAUCGUUCGCUAGAAGAAGAGGUUACCACACGUCGACAACAGUUGUUUGCCAUGGAAGCAAGAGCCGUGCAAGCUGAGCAAGAACGAGAUGAAGUCAUCGGAGAGAUAACCGAGAUGGCUCAGUUGUUGGCACAACAUUUUGGGAUAUGAUAUCGUUCCCACCAUUAGGAGAUUUACAGCAUGAUCAGGAUCUGCAGUAUGUCUAUUGGUAUUAGGAAUCUCUUAUAUGAUCUAUGCUAGGUACCAUUGACUCUAUGUUUAAGUGAUUACACUACUCAUAGAGUCGUUAUGCUGCCGAACUUUGUACCCUUUAUGUAUGCUCUUUCGAGCAAAUUUUCAUGUAUCAAAGUAUGGAUAUUAUUAGUGGAAAAUAAUAUGUGUUCUAACGUGAUGUUGUUAUCUGCUAUGUGCUAUAUUUCCAUGUUGUAUGUCAAUAUGUGAAACUACUUAAUUAUAUGCAAUACACCUAGUUUAUAGGAUCACAAACUCGCAAAAAAAAAUUAUAGGCACUCAACAUCUUUUUGUUCCAUGACAGAAGGAUGCCUCAACGACCCACCCGUGGAAACCCCGAGCCGACACCACCAUAAAUCAACUCAGUUGCAUUUCAAGCAGUUGUAUCUGCUACAGUCACAGCGGCAUUGGCACGUAUCCACAAUGGGAACAAUGGUGGAGGCGAAGGACAAGGGGCUGGAAGCUCAAACAACGGAAUGAACCAGGGGCCUACCAAGACAUGCUCCUACAAAGAUUUCACCAACACCAAGCCACGAACCUUUAAUGGCACAGGGGGAAUGAUAAACUUGAAGAGAUGGAUCGAGAAGGUGGAAUCGGUGUUCGAGAUAUGUGAAUGCCCCGAAGAGGUCAAGGUGAAGUUUGCAGCAUGUAUAUUUUUUGAUCAAGCUCUCACCUGGUGGAAUGGACAUGUGGAGGCCAUGACUCUUCCCGUAGCCAACGCCAUGCCGUGGGCGGAAUUGAAAGAAAUGUUGAUGGUCGAGUACCCGCAUGGCGAAAUUCAGAAAAUGGAACAAGAGUAAUGGAACCUCACAGUCCGAAACUCCGACAUCGGUACUUACAUAUCAAGGUUUAGCAAACUGUCUCUGUUGUGCCCUGGCAUGAUUACCUCGGAAGGAAAGAAAAUCGAACGAUUCAUCUGGGGAUUAACUCCGCCAAUUCAAGGAAAUGUAAUAGCCGCAAAUUUUGAAACCUUUGGCAGCGGCAAGAGGUUGGCCAAGAAGUUGUACGACCACAACAACAAAAGAGGGGAAAAAGCAGAGGAAACUGAAAGCAAGAAGGAGAGUGAUAACAAGAAGGGAAAGAAUAACAAGCGGAAGGGAAGACAAGGCUCAGAGUCGUCAGAGAAACAACAAACAGUGAUAGUUCAUGUUGCAACCACCCAAGUUCCCUCCACGCUACAUGUUCCAACCUCAUCUACCCCAAGUGCCCCUAAGCAGUAUUCCGGAAAUCUCCCAAAGUGCAACAAGUGCAAUUUUCAUCACAAUGGUGAAUGCAGGGAGAUGCAUUGUACCAGUUGCCACCGAAAGGGUCAACGACAAAAUACUGUAGAAACUAUACUCCCCAGAACCAACAACCGGGAAACAACAACAACAACCGCAACAACAACAACAACAACAACAACAACAACAACAACGGCAACAAUACUGGGGAAAGCCACACUUGUUAUGGAUGUGAAAGGACUGGGCAUUUUUGUCGAAACUACCCCACUGUCAACAACCCAAGGAAUGGAGGAGCGGCGAGAGUGCUGACCCUAGGACAAGGAGAAGCGGUUCAGGAUCCCGCUGUAGUCACUGGUACGUUUCUCCUUAACAACACAUAUGCAUGCAUUCUGUUUCAUACCAUGGCAGAGCGAAGUUUUGUGAGUAAUAAAUUCAAAUAUUUGUUAAAACAACAACCCUAGAAGCUUAAUGAAACCUUUACGGUGGAAAUGGCUAAUGGGAAAACAAAAUCAACUGGGGAAAUCUACGUAGGAUGUACCCUGACCUUAAAUCAUCACGCGUUUCAAAUAAGUUUGAUGCCUGUAUCUAUUUGUAGUUUUGAUGUGAUUAUCAGCAUGGAUUGGUUGAACCCCCAUCAUGUCGAAAUUAUGUGUCACGAGAAGGUCGUUCGCCUUCAUCUCCCUAACCAAGAAACCCUAAUUAUAUAUGGAGACAAAUCCAGUAUGAACCUUCGUCUUAUCUCGUGUAUUAAGGCACAUAAGUGUCUACAAAAAAAGGACUUGGCGUUUCUGACUCAUAUCUUCGAUAAAUCCAAGGAUGAGGUUAGUAUUCGAGACAUACCAGUGGCUUGCGAUUUCCCUGGCAUCUUUCCUGAAGACCUUCCGGGGAUACCCCCAGAAAGGCAAAUCGAGUUGCGAAUUGACCUUGUGCCAGGAGCUACACCCAUCGCCAAAUCUCCCUAUAGAUUGGCUCCUGUGGAGAUGCAAGAACUGUCAAGCCAACUCAGCGAACUCUUGAGCAAAGGAUUCAUCCGACCUAGCUUCUCACCUUGGGGAGCUCCAGUCCUUUUUGUUAAAAAGAAGGACGGAUCCUUUAGAAUGUGCAUCAGUUAUAGAGAGCUGAAUAAGCUCACUAUUAAGAAUCGCUACCCACUUCCACGAAUCGAUGAUCUAUUCGACCAGCUUCAAGGAGCAAAUUACUUUUCUAAGACAGAUCUGCGAUCCGGCUAUCACCAACUCAAGGUCCGGGAAGAGGAUAUCCCCAAGACCGCUUUCUGAACUCGCUAUGGACAUUAUGAAUUUGUUGUAUUCGGUCUAACGAAUGCCCCUACCACAUUCAUGGACCUGAUGAAUCGAGUAUGUCGACCAUUCCUCGACAACUUUGUCAUCGUUUUCAUCGAAGAUAUUCUGGUCUAUUCUCGAAGCGAAGAGGAGCAUGGUCGACACCUCCGACAAAUCUUGGAAACCUUGCGAGCCGAAAAGUUAUACGCAAAACUCUCUAAGUGUGAAUUUUAGCUUCGUAGCGUAAAUUUCUUGGGUCAUGUUAUCAUCCAAGAAGGGAUACAUGUGGACUCUUCUAAGAUCAAAGCCAUUGAAGGAUGGGCAGUCCCAACGAAACCCACUGAAAUUCGACAAUUUCCGGGUCUUGCAGGCUACUACAGAAGAUUCAUUCAAAACUUCUCCAGAACGGCCAAGCCACUUACCAUGCUUACACAGAAGGGCGUACCAUUUGAAUGGACCAAAAAGCAGGAGGUUUCCUUCCUAACUCUAAAACGAGCUCUCUGUAGUGCAGUACUAUCAUUACCAGAGGGAACUGAGGACUUCAUAGUUUAUUGUGAUGCUUCGAAUCAGGGUUUAUGUUGUGUACUAAUGCAGCGUGGGAAAGUGAUAACAUAUGCAUCCCGGCAACUAAAGACACAUGAGGUGAAUUAUACCACCCAUGAUCUUGAAUUGGGAGCUGUGGUUUUUGCCUUGAAGAUUUGGAGGCUCUACCUUUAUGGUACAAAGUGCACCAUUUUCACCGGCCACAAGAGCCUCCAACACAUUUUAAAUCAAAAGGAGUUAAACAUGAGGCAACGAAGAUGGGUUGAGCUGCUAAACGAUUAUGAGUGUGAAAUCAAGUACCACCCAGGCAAGGCUAAUGUGGUAGCUGAUGCCUUAAGUCGGAAAGAGCACUCAAAUCGUCGUGUGAAAACUCUUUCAAUAACCAUUCAAUCCCAUCUGUCCUCGCAAAUCAAAGAAGCCUAGUUGGAUGCCAUGAAGACAGAAAACAGAACAAAAGAAGCGUUACAUGGAAUGGAAAAGAACUUCAAAGUCAAGGAGGAUGGAGCGUAUUAUUUCAUGAACUGGAUUUGGGUCCCUAAACUUGGGGGAUUCAGAGAGGUAGUCAUGAAUGAGGCCCACAAGACACGAUACUCCAUCCAUCCGAGUUCAGAUAAAAUAUACCUGGAUAUCAAGCAACAUUAUUGGUGGCCUAACAUGAAGGAAGAAAUUGCCACUUACGUUAGCAAGUGCCUCACUUACGCUAAAGUGAAGGUAGAAUAUCAAAAGCCCUCGAGACUAUUACAACAACCAAUAAUACCCGAGUAGAAAUGGGAAAGGACCAUGGACUUUGUGACUAAAUUAUCCAAGACAAAUGACGGAUUGGAUGCCAUAUGGGUAAUAGUCGACAGGUUGACGAAAUCUGCCCAUUUCCUACCAAUAAAGGAGACAUACAAGAUGGAACGACUGACGAGAAUCUACAUCAAAGAGAUUGUGAAACUCCAUGGAAUACCAAUAUCUAUCAUCUCAGACCAUGAUAGUAGAUUCACUUCACGCUUUUGGCAGACGGUUCAGAAAGCUAUGGGGACACAACUCGACAUGAGCACUGCUUACCACCUACAAACGGAUGAUCAAAGUGAGUGAACCAUUCAAACGCUUGAAGAUAUGCUUCGAGCAUGUGUGACAGACUUUGGAAGGUCGUGGGAUAUCCAACUGCCUUCAAUUGAGUUUUCGUACAACAACAGUUAUCACACAAGCAUCAAAGUUGCUCCUUUUGAAACAUUAUAUGGGCGUAAAUGUAGAUCACCAUUGUGUUGGGCUGAGGUAGGUGACACUCAGCUAGCAAGAGGGCCGACACCAAACAAUGCAUUAACAGGGCCAGAAAUAAUACGUGAAACGACAGAGAAGAUAGUUCAAAUCAGAGCUCGACUUCAAGCAUCACGAGACCGACCAGAAGAGCUACACUGAUAAAAAACGAAAGUCCUUGGAAUUUCAAGUCGGGGAUCGGGUGUUGUUAAAAGUAUCUCCCUGGAAAGGGGUGAUCACUUUCAGGAAACAGGGAAAACUAAACCAACGGUACAUUGAACCAUUCGAGAUUCUUGCCUGAAUCGGUCCAGUGGCUUAUAGACUGCAGCUACCUGUCAAUCUCAACAGUGUACACCCCGUGUUCCAUGUUUCCAAUUUGAAGAAGUGCUUACCCGACGAAACACUUGUCAUCCCCAUGGAUGAAAUCGAAAUCAACGAGAAUCUACUGUUCGUCGAGGAACUGAUUGAAAUCAUGGACAGUGAAGUGAAGCGUACUAAGCACAGUCAAAUUCCGAUUGUGAAAGUUCGGUGGAACGCAAAGCGUGGACCGAAAUUCACAUGGGAACGCGAAGAUCAGAUGAAGCAAAAGUACCCUCACUUAUUCUCGCACUCUCAGACCUAGUUUCAAAAGAAUUUCGGGACGAAUUUCCCUCUAACGGGGGGUGAUGUCACAACAAGGAAUUCUAAUGCUUUUGUAAACAUUGACAAUGAUGACAUUUGUGACUAAAACUUGAAAACAUGCAUGAUGUUUAUUCAAUGACAACAAAAUUCCAUCAAACACUCUAUGCAAACACUUCAAAUGGUCAACAAAAGAUUGGAAACCCUAAAAAUCCCGGUUUAAUUCCAUUAUGGACUAGGAUUUCCUUAUUGGGCCUAAUGGACCAAUAAGCUUCCAAUUUGACUAUUUUGGGCUUAGGACCCUUAAAUGGGCCCUAAUUGGACCCACUUUCAUGAAACUUAACAUUUUGGGCCAUAAUGCAUCCAAAAUGAAUUGGUUUACCUUAAUGGGACUUAUUGGGCCAUAACUAACCUAAUAAGCUUUCAUGAAACAUAAAUCCAUUCUUUUAUAAAAAAAAAUUGGGAUGUGAACUACACUAAAGGCCCAAUGGGUCGAAAAUCUUGUCCAUAAAACAUUAUAAUCUCGAACCAAGGAUUUAAGUGGGCCAAACUAAUUCAUUCCCUCCUUCCUUUGUUAGGUCAUUUCGGCCCAUGUAAAAAAAAUAAAAUAAAUAAGAAGAAUGAAAGAUUUAUCCAUGCCACCUCAUUUUUACAAGAAGGAUAACCAAGCAUUAUAAUCAACAUAUAUCCAUGCAACUUCUCAUGUCUCCAUGCAACUAUCACUUUAGUUCUUUCUCUCCUCUCUCUUUCUUCUUAUCUUCGGCCGAGGCUACCCACACAUACACAUCACCAUUGCAAAUUACUUCAAACUCUCUCAAUAAAAUCUUCAUGCUUCCUCCAAAUUUUCUAGAAUCAUAAGGGCUUCAAGAAGAAUUUUAUCCAAAAAUCACUUCCAACUACAUACUAGUGGUAAGAUCUUGCAAACAUGUUUAACUUCUACACUUAAUCACUCUUCUUACAACCUUAAAUUCUUGAUCAUACUCCAUAGAACCCUUCAAAUUCGAGGUCUCUUCAAGGAGCUUGUUAGGGCCAAAAACAAUACCAUCUUCUUCCAUUUAUUCUUCAAAACCGUGAGCAACAAAGCAAGGUGAGUUCAUACCCCCUUUUUUCGGUUUUUACUUGUUUUUGGGGGGAGAAUACAAGUGUUAUGUGUUGAUCUAUGUGUGUUUGCAUGUAUUAUGUGAUUUCUUUGAUUUUGGUUGUAAUAAUAUGUUAAUACUUGAGAUAUUUCGAGAUCUAUAGCAAAAGGGUGAAAGAAUCAUAAACAAAAACAUAAUAAACAACAUACGUCAUAGAUCUAAGGGUCCUUAAGUUUAAUAAGUGAAAAACAAAGCCAAAGAUCUUUACAAGUGUCAUUUUGCAAAAAUAACAAAGAUUGGGUAAAAAUUGAUAAUUUUCGGUUUUAUGAGGGUUAUAAGGUAUUUAUUUAUAUAAAAGCUGAUUUUUAUGAAAAUAAUACUUUUCAAAGGGUCAAAAACAUAAAUUUUAGCUUAAUGGGCUUAAAUUUGGGCCUCACGAGUUUUGGGCCCAAAGUUGCAAAAAAUGAAGAAUUUUAGGGGCUGGAGUGGAAAAAUUAACAAACUAUGAGUCUAAAACGUAAAUAAACUAUUUCAGGGGCUGAAAAUGACUUUGAUGCAAAAGUUGGACUAAAAAUACAAAGUUUUUGAUUUUGGGGUAAGAAUUCUAAAACUUACGGAAUUUGAGCCAAAAAUCUAAACUUUUUACAAAUAAAGGGUGGAAAUGACAAAUACACUAGUUUUGGGUUGAAAUUAUUAUUUAAAUAAAGUUUGGGUAAAAAAUGACAAGAAAAAAUGGUUUAAGGACCAAAAAUGUCAAUUUUCAUAAAAAGGGACUAAAGGUGCCAUUUUUAUAGAAAAAGGGGCUGCAAUUGAUAAACUAAAUGUUUUUAAGCCAAAUAGACAAUUAUAAAUUUUUGGGUUAAAAAUAUCAAGUUUAUAACGCAUGGUUAUAUAUAUAUAUAUNNNNNNNNNNNNNNNNNNNNNNNNNNNNNNNNNNNNNNNNNNNNNNNNNNNNNNNNNNNNNNNNNNNNNNUAUGGGAAAAGGGAAUAUAUGGCUGUUAUGUAUGUAUGCUUGGGUAUAGAACCUUCUAAUACGACAGCGUUUUGUAAAAAAAAAUUAAAAACUUGUUCAUAGAUUAUGCGGGUUUUUUCCAUGCAUACCGUUUGUUUCCUUCUCCACUCAUCUGAAACCCUAAAUCUUCAAAUCGUGGUUCUCCAUCCACAAUCAAAUUGAUUUAAGGUAAAAACUUUUUCUCCUCUACUGCACAUGAAAUUUCUGUUUUGGUUUAGUUGAUUCGGACUAAAAUGCAAUCAGCAUAUAAAAAAAACUUGUUUUUUUAUCAUUGUCGUCAAAAGAUUCUAUCAAUUUAAGAAAAAACACACUACAUGAUAUUUAAUUGAUUUCUUUAACAAAACAAUAGCUAAAAUCUAACGCAGUCAUCAUAAUUUUUAAUUGGUUUCUUUAGCUUUAAUUGGUUUCAGACAAUUAGUACAAACACUAAAAUUAAAGCCUUUAGUUUUGUAAAUCUAAAACGGAGAUAACAAUUAAUUACAAUUAAAUUUUCGUCUUCAAGUAGAUCAAUUAUAAAACCAAUAAUUUAAGAGUGUGUUCUAGUUCCAUGAAAGAAAUUAGAAAGAAACGAAAUUAACUCUUAGUAAUUUUUAACUUGUCAAUGUUUAUGCAUUAUGGGUUUGUAACUUUGUACUGAUUUUUUUUAUCCCUUGUGUGUGUGCUACAGGACAUGCAUAAUACCAUGGAUUUAGAAUUUCAAGAAUCUAAUGAGCCAUUACAAACAUAUGCAACUUAUGUUGAUGCUGAUGAGCAAUUACAAAGAGAUGCAUCUUAUUUUGAUGUUGAUGUUAACCUUGGACAUGAUGGAGAUGAAAGUAACGAUGAAGGUAUAAAUCAAAUGUUAAGAUAUUUUUAACAUUGCGAAUAAACAUUUAGCAUACAACAAAUACCAACACUACGAACUUAAACUCGAUAAACCAUAAAUGAUUCAAUGAUUGGGCCCAAAAGCUUCUGCUCGUGCUAUUGGGUCUUUGUGGCCCAAUAUCAUGAUUAUUGGGCCCAAUAUAUUCAAACAUGUUUAUUGGGUCUUGGUGAUCCAAUUACAUGCCUAAUGGACCUUCAAUGGCUUUUACAUGCUAUUGGGCCUUAAUGCCCCAUUUGCAUUUGCUAGUAAGGUUCAAAUCAAUCAUAUGCGUGAUGGGCUAACGUGUCCGCCGUAUACUCGACAACCUAUAAUAACAUACAUGAUUAGUGGAUCUUUGCAGCCCUCUUCUCUUCGUCUGUUAGGCUUACCUUUUAUUCAAGUAAACAUAAAUCAAGUUGUAAACAAGGUUAUACAAUUUCAGUUGGAUUUAGUGGGAAAUAACGGGUGACACUAAUAAGUGUCGGUCGUAGUCGGUAGUAUAACCAGAGUCUCCUGGAGGUAGAGCGAGAGUUUGUGUAUAGAUCUAUACGGGGGUGACUCCCCCACACCUGAGUUGUUCGCUACAGUUAGACUCGACCAGUCUAGGGUGACAAAAUCUUGAUCAAAACCGGCGUUUGGAAAAAUGCCAAGACAGGCGAAUUAGUCAUUAUUAUGCAUGGUUAUAACGACUCACAUAGAGAUCCAACACCAUCUAAGUAAUCAUGGGAAAACAUAUUCAUUUGUUGUGACGAUACAAUAAUACAAAACUAUCAUACUACUUAUAUCGGGAAACAUCGGGUUUUCCAGGGGAACAACAUUAUGCACUCCUACAUACAACACUAUAAUACAAUAAUCAAACAAUCACUUUUACUUGUUUUGAAAUCACAUAUAUAUGCACUUAUAGGAUCAUCGCAUCUUUUUCGCAAACGGUUUUUGAACAGAAAAUAUUGGAUUUUCUGGGUUUUACAAACAAUACAAACUAAUUUUAUAUCAAACAUGAUUAUGAACUCACUAACAUUAUAUAUGUUGACGUUUUCAAAACAACUUGUAUUCUCAGGUAACAGAUAAGCUGAAGAAAGUUACCAAGUAUGUUAGGAUGUUACGUUUUGUGACUCUCAAACAAUUUAUGGUAUCGAUAUGUAAUAUUUAAACAAUGUACUUGAUGUGAACAAUGACAGUUGUACUAUGUAAUGUUGGUGAUAUAUGUGUUUGUUCAUGUAUAUUCAUUGAGAUGGUAUUUAAUUGAUAGUCACACGAGCCUUCGGACGUUUCCGCCGUCUGGUUCGAGGGUGUAACAAGGAUGUAUGGUUUUAUAAAGGUAUUGAAAGGCUCACAAUUUUUAAACGAUUCAACCCAUUGCUUUCUGUUUUUUCAUGCCCAAAUACUUGUGAAACUUCUUCUCUGGCACGCUCUUGCCAAUUUGUGUGCUGAGCCAACAAAAACAUAGUGCAAACUAGUAAGAUUCCAAUAGUCUCUUGUCCAGCAAAGUAGAAAAGCUUACACUCAUCGAUUACUUCAUCAAUGGUUAAUCCAGAAUUCUUAUACCCAUGUUUAAUUUCUCUGUAAUUUGAUUCCAAGAGUAUUCCCAACAAGUCAUCUUUACUCCUUUCUACAGCUUUCAUUGCGAUUGUUCGUUUGUCAAUGAUACUCCUUAUGGUAGCCCUCACUUCUCGGUCAAUUUUCUUUAUCCUGUUAUUGGUUUUUGUUGGCAAAAACCUGGUAUUUAUGUGUGAAUUAUAUUAGAUCGUCUCUUGAUCAAGAGAAAAACAAUGUAAUAAAAUAUUUUUCGGAAAGAUAAACACCUCGAUCCAGGAAUGUAGAAUGAUUGUAUAGCGUCUAUAACUAACACUGCUAGUUCCCGUUGUAGCUCAAAUAUUAUAUUCCCUUCUUCAAUGUUACUACCUAAUGUUGUACGUGAAAUAACUUCACUGGAUAACAUUUCACUACAAGGAUCGAGCACUAUGCAGACAAAUGAUAAUAAUAACAAUAGAAAAAGGUCCCAACCUUUCAUAUAGUAUAUACAAGUUUUCAGCAUUAGAGACAUCAAAUAAAGUCAGUUUAAUGGUAAAGGUAUUGCCCUUGACAUCCAAAGGUCGCACCUACGAAUAAUGUAAUCCCCAAGAGUGUGUUUUUCAAACAAGCUUAAAAAGUUGGCCUGUUUGCCAUGUAUGUAACUAACUUGUUUUUUUUUUGAACGACCAUGUUAGUAUUUGUCUGGGAUUGAACCCAAGACCUCCUGCUUAGAAACCCUAGUUAGACACUUUGUAUGUAAGCAACUUGUAACCGACAAAACCUCCUAAAAAGCUAUAAACGAAAAAAAUUAAACAAAACUUCUGUAAGCAACUUGUAACCGAGAAAACCUGCUAAAAAGCUAUAAAUGAAAAAAUUAAACAAAACUUUCGAUGUUACUGAACCUAAAAUAGGUCAAAGGGUAAAACCAAAGAUUUUAUAAAAACUUAAUGACUUUUAUUUCAUUAGCCCUAUUACCCAAAAGCUUGUUUUUUAAACAAGCUUAAAAAGCUACCAUUUCUGGCUCAACGCCAUGUCCGCCGAUUGAGCCUAGUCCGCGUCGACGUGGUUUGCCACGUCUUUAAGCAACUUGUUGUAACCGGAAAAACUUGCAUGCUAAAAGGGUAUAAACGAAAAAAUUAAACAAAACUUGCAGUUUCACUAGACUGAAAAUACAUCAAAAGAUAAAACCAUACAUUUCUCGAAAACCUAAAGGCUUUUAUAUUAUUAGCCAUAUUUACUAACAUGUAACCCAAAUGUAAAAGCAAGAACCAAAAGGUUGCACGUGCCCAUUAUUAUGCCAAUGUAUGAAUCUGAGGAAAAAAAUUUAAAAUCAUACGUAAAAAAAUGGGAAGUAAGAAUAAUAAUGUAAAAGAUUUGAACAGCUUACUAAAAUAAUUAAAACAAAAUAUUUAAAUAUUAAAUAUAAAUUGCAGCUAAUAAUAUAAUAAUUAUAUUAAUAUAAUGAUUAAUAAAUAAUAAUCAGUAAUAAUUAAAAUAAAAAAUGUAUAUAUAAGAAACGUAAAAUUAACUAUUAAUUAUUAAUAAUUUACUUUUACAAACUACAAUUAAUUAAUUAUUAGUAUUUAAUUUCGCAAUCUGCUGAUAAAAUAAUUAUUAAAAAGAUUUGAUAAGUAAAAAUGCGAUUAGAUAUAUUGGAAGCCAAGACAAAACUGCAUAGACAAAGUUCAGGAAAUGAGCAAGAAGGUAGGAGUUCUUAGGCGGCUAUAGCUAACAACUGCGCGCCACACUCUUUUCUUACCAAUUUCCUUUACUCAGACUAUAUCGUUGACUAUAAUAAUUAGUCAAUAUUUGAACAAACCAUUGGGGAAUGAUCGUGUAUAAAUAGAUCCUUCAUAAAUGGUUACUCACACAUUCAUAUUCUUUCAAUCAUUGAAAAAAAUGGCUAUAAUCUUAAAAAGAGGAAGACUUACCUUGGCUCUUAUCAUCCUCAUCGUCAUUAGUUCAUCAUCUCACAUCAUUACAACCACCGCCACUGCUCGGAUUCCGUACAACCAUGUCCGCCAACUAGGUUCGGUUUUCUCUAAACCUCUCACAGUUAAUAAUAAAAAAACACUAAUAGAAGUUGCUCCAGUAUUUCUUAUAAAGUAACUAAAGUUGCAUUGUAAAUUCGUGUAGUUAAACUUUUUUUUUUAUAAGGAGUUGUAGCGUUAAUUAUAUUCUUCUGAUUUUGUUUUCUAUAUUUAUUUCAUUCGUGUAUUUAGUAUCAAUAGUCUAUAGCUAACUAAUCUGAUAUCCAUUCAUCACGGAUUUCCAGAUUUUCUGAUCAAACUAACCUUAUAUAAGAGUGCAUAUACAACUUGUCCUUCCCUAAAUAUUAAAAAUAUAAUUAGAAAUUGAUGUAUGCAGCUACAAAUUGCGAUUAUGACCCCAUACAACAAAAUGAUGGACCCGACGGGUGUGGUAGUGGAAGUGGAAGUGGAAGUGGAAGUGCAUCACCAAAACCAAAACCAAUACCAUGCGGUUCAAUGCCAGGUAGGAGCCUUUGUAGGAAGGGUUGCUGUGGGAAGACUAAAAUGGGAAGAGCCGAAUGUUGCUAGUAGUACGGAGGUUGUACUACAUCAAAUAAUGUAUCUGAGUCCCUUGUUUAGAUCAGAAAAUAAUAUUUCAAAUCAUUUCCACCCUCUGCUUUUCCUUAAAGUUGUCUAUGUAUGAGUAUGUAUGUCCACAAAAAUUUUAUAUCCAGAUAAUGUUGUUCGAAUUAAUCUCGAAGAAAUGAUUCUAUCAUUAUAUUUGUCAAGAUGGUUCACAAGUUUAGUAGAAGAAAACAAAAAUCAAACGUGGCUAUCUAACUUUAACUUGCACAAGUGGCAUGAGCUUCAUCCACAUAACUUUGUACCACAUGCAAUGUGUACCAUAUCGCCAGAAGGCGAAGGUCACUUCUUUGUGUCGUCUUUUAGAUCCCAUAUCGACCUGAAACUAAAUGCUGGUUAAUUUAAUGCUGAAUCAAGAAGGAAAUAUGGGCUGUUUGUAUAAGGCCAAUAUCCUAUGACGGAGACUAAGCAUUAAAGGCUAAUCAUGAUGGCGAUGUGGCAAUGAGCUACAGGAAGGAAUGACUAUGCACACAUCUCGAAGGUUGAUCGGUUAUUUUGGUCAGAAGUUUAACAAACUGAGUGUCUAAUUUAAGAUAAAAAAUUCAUUCUCAAAAUUGGAUUUUUAUGAAAACUUAAUUACCAUAACUUGCAAUAUUUAAAUUUUGGAGAACAUAACUAGCAUGUAACAUAUAAUCACAAAAAUUUUAGCAAAAUGGUAUUUUGGACAAUUAACUACAAUUAUAAAAGGAAAUUUUCGGAUUUUUAGGGAUAAUUAAUUCUCAUAAUUUUAAAUUUUUGAAUUUUUUUUAAUUAAUUUAAUUUUAAUUCUAAUGUAAUUUGUAAACAUAAUCAAUUUUAUUCUGUCAGAAUAUUUUUUUGGUUAGAAUAAUGCUCUUUCAUAAUUUUAUUCUAUUAGAAUAUUAUUGAAGAAUAACAAAAUUCUUAAAUCCGAGGUUGAAAAAGAACAACAUUCUAAUAUAUUUUUAUACAUCCGAACUUAAAUAAAAUUCAUAUGUAUUCUUACAGACUAAAAGUCUUAUACAUUUUAAUUUAAUUAUACAUAUUCUAAAAGAAUAUCAACACAAAAGAAUAAAGUUCUUAAAAAUAACAACAUUAUUAAAAUUAGAGUAUGAUCAAAGUUUAUUCAUUCUUCAACAUUAUUAAAAUAACAACAUUAUUAGGUCUUCAACUCAUGCUUCCAACCAUUCCUAUCACAAAUACAACAAAAACUAAUAAUAGUUAAAAACAUGUUACAAAUACAACAAUCACUUUAUAUAUUCUGGUAGAAUACAUAGAAUGUGAGAGAAUACAUAGAAUAUAUUCUGACCGAUCCAAGUUGUGAGAAGAAUGAAAUUUGAAUCCCUAGAUUUACCUGCACUCGCUGGUCAAAAUCUCAUCAUUCUAUUGUAUAUUAUUCUACGAGAAUAAUACAAUCUUUGUUGAAUAUUCUAACAGAAUAAUUCUUUCUUGAAGCUGUAAUCAAGAUACUGAAAAAAAAAACAAUUAUGUGUCAUAUCAUAGAAUUUAAUCCUUAAUAAAAAAUUCAAAAAUAACAUUGAAAACCAUGCAAAAUAAAACAUUCUUAAAGAAUCAUUAAACUAAAAGCACAAUUACAAUGCAAAAUUCUAACAGAAUGUGUAUAUGAUAUUGAAGUGUUUAAAAAGCAAUAUAUAUGCACCUCCAAACUUUUCCAUGUGAAUUAAAUAUGCUUCAGCUAUGUAUUUAUAUAGAACCAGUAUAGCAUAUGCACCUCCAAUCUUUUCCAUAUGAAUUUUAAGUGUAGCGUUUAAAGAACAAUAUUUUGAAAUUUGAAGUUAUCUAUCCAAAUAAUAUGAAUUUGAAACUAACAAGUCACACUGCAUCCGAACUUUGAAUUACAAAGUCUAUGGUACAUGAAACUUCAUAGGUAAAUGCACUUGAUACACAAAUAUAUAGAUAUUACUAUCAAUUGCCAGUAGCAUCUUCUUUUUGAAAAAGAUGCGUCGACUUUUCUUUGUACCCCCCCCCNNNNNNNNNNNNNNNNNNNNCCCCCGGAACAGGAAUUCAAGCUAACCUAACCUGAGUUUUAAUUACAACCUCAUAUAAAAAGACUAUCAACGGAAUGCCCAAGCACACAAAUGAGAAACUGGCCAAAAGUUAUCGUAUUCAAAAGUAGAUAUUAUCCGAGUUUCCUCUUCUGGUGAAACUAUAUAUGAGCAUGUCAACGAAGGCUUGAUUAUGUGACAAACGUGACAUAAGUGAAAAAGUGAUAAGGGGAACAUCACCAAUCAAUUUACCAUUAUUCAGUCGAAAAUUUAAGCUUGUUCAUUAUCAGUGUUAAGCUUAAAGUUCAGGAUCACAAAGAAUCAUAUGUAGAGAAUCGUGUUUGUGAAUUAGAAGAUAUAGACGAAUUAAAAGAAGUACAUGUUGGACUAUGUAGUACCCUAACUGAAAUACAAAACAGAAUAAAUUGACUGAGAUAAUCGAAAUUUAAAUCCCCUACUAAUGAACAAGCAAAUGAUUAUGAUGUGAUAUAUGAUUAAUAAGAUAAAAUUGCCUACAAUACCUUGUAACAAUGCCUUCAUAGUUCCCUGCCUAUAGAGCUACAGGGAGACCUGAAGCGGCGAGAAUAGCUAAUAAGACACGAUGUGUGCGCAUCAGAAAAAAAGAAGCGAUCGACUCCUUCUAUCUGUGGUGUGCUUCGACCGGAAGAAGAAAGAAGAAAUCGAGGUCUUGAUCGGUUGUGUUGUGGGGUGUCGGUCAUUCAUCUUGGUAAUUCCUUGAAUAUAAGACACGAUACAAGAGAGAGACUAGGUCAAAAAUAUUGAUUGUAUUUCCUUAAUUGCAGGAUUUCAAUUAAAUGAUUCCUUAAUUAAAAAGUACAAAAUGUCCAGAAUACCCUUAAAUUAUUUAUUUAAUUGUUUAUUAUUUCUUGAAUUCUCAUUGGUGCAUUUAGGCACACAAUACUUGCUAAAAACAUUUGAAUAUAUAUAUAUAUAUNNNNNNNNNNNNNNNNNNNNNNNNNNNNNNNNNNNNNNNNNNNNNNNNNNNNNNNNNNNNNNNNNNNNNNNNNNNNNNNNNNNNNNNNNNNNNNNNNNNNNNNNNNNNNNNNNNNNNNNNNNNNNNNNNNNNNNNNNNNNNNNNNNNNNNNNNNNNNNNNNNNNNNNNNNNNNNNNNNNNNNNNNNNNNNNNNNNNNNNNNNNNNNNNNNNNNNNNNNNNNNNNNNNNNNNNNNNNNNNNNNNNNNNNNNNNNNNNNNNNNNNNNNNNNNNNNNNNNNNNNNNNNNNNNNNNNNNNNNNNNNNNNNNNNNNNNNNNNNNNNNNNNNNNNNNNNNNNNNNNNNNNNNNNNNNNNNNNNNNNNNNNNNNNNNNNNNNNNNNNNNNNNNNNNNNNNNNNNNNNNNNNNNNNNNNNNNNNNNNNNNNNNNNNNNNNNNNNNNNNNNNNNNNNNNNNNNNNNNNNNNNNNNNNNNNNNNNNNNNNNNNNNNNNNNNNNNNNNNNNNNNNNNNNNNNNNNNNNNNNNNNNNNNNNNNNNNNNNNNNNNNNNNNNNNNNNNNNNNNNNNNNNNNNNNNNNNNNNNNNNNNNNNNNNNNNNNNNNNNNNNNNNNNNNNNNNNNNNNNNNNNNNNNNNNNNNNNNNNNNNNNNNNNNNNNNNNNNNNNNNNNNNNNNNNNNNNNNNNNNNNNNNNNNNNNNNNNNNNNNNNNNNNNNNNNNNNNNNNNNNNNNNNNNNNNNNNNNNNNNNNNNNNNNNNNNNNNNNNNNNNNNNNNNNNNNNNNNNNNNNNNNNNNNNAUAGUUACAUAAAGGCCCCUAUACAAAACAAAGUGAAAAAUAAAGACUAUAAAUUAACACUCAUGAUUGUUACUGGUUUAUCGAUAUCAUUUUUUUGGGAGCAAAUGUUUCAUGGAAAAUGAGCAUUAACUGGUAUGGAACCUGGAAUCAUUGGAAAUUAAGGCUUUUUUACGACCGCAACACAUGCCGACUUUAUUGAUGUACCAAAAGGACCUAUUUACUUGAUCUACGCCCUCAACAAUUUGAAAAGGCUCUUCAUAGAACAGGUACCUUUUUUUAAUGAUGGUUUCUCUUAGUUUCAAUUGCCAUACUUGCUUUGGUGUAUAAUACAUAAUUCCAUCAUAAAACUAAAAUUAUUGUUUGUUCUUACAUGAUGUUUUUUUUUGAAAAAGUUGCAUAUUAGUUGUUUUGAAGAUUCUGUUUAGAAUGCAACCAUUACCUAUAUUUCUAGGACAUACUAAGACUGUUAAGCAUCUUCUAAGAUCCAUUUACCAUUCAAAUUUAAAGUUGCAUAUGCUGAACGUCCUGAGGACCAAUAAACCUAGAUCGAUAUACUUUGAGUUUCAACUGAUAAAAAUAUGUGAACCAAAUGCUAACCAAUAAUUGCAAACCAAUUGUUUGGUAAGGUUUGUUGCAAAAUUAUACCAGGCUUUCAGAUAUUGCAAGUUUUUUUUUACUGUUUUUAGUGAUUAAUAUGCUAUCUCAUUAUAACUGUGAAGUGGAGAGGAUACCGAUGGAAGAUGUAAGCACUUGCUUGAUAUCAACCCUAUUUCUUUUAAGAAACUUAGAGAUCUAAAAUUAAAUGUGAAUGAUAUUACAAUCGUUAAUAACAGAAUAUCAGUAGUUCAGUCUCUAAACAAGCGGGUUAUGAAGAUGCAAGAGUGUUAAUUCAAGAAAUAUGUCCCUACUUUUUUGACAUGAUCCAUUUUUCUGCAUAAAACGUUCAGGUCUUUAAUUUAGACAAUUUUUUUGCUAAACCUUUUACUUUGUUUUAUUUUUCUUCUGUUAACUCAUCUUUGGUCAUGUUUUCAGAUUGUUGACUUGGAAAUCUUGUAUUACAAAGCUUUCAAGUCAACUAUAUAUGUCAUAGAAAGUGAAGAUAUAUCAACCAAGUGAACGCAAUUGAAUUUUGCCUCCCUUCAUUCCACAGCAGAAAACGUACAUAUACAGGGAGAUAGUUAUAAAAUAGGAAAUUACAAUCUUCUAAUUUUGGAGCAAUAUCUUGACUAGGUAUAUAAAUACCCUACUAAUAUACAGCUAAUGAUUUACAACUAAUAUACAGCUAAUACACCCCCUCAGUCUGAGCCGGAGGAGACCGAAGGCACAGACUGGAUCGAAAACGAGUAAAUAGUUGACGCAGUAGCCCUUUUGUGAAGAUGUCCGCAUACUGAAAAUCUGCUGGGAUGUGAAGAACUCGAAUGUCACCAAUGCGAACUUUUUCUCGUACAAAAUGGAUAUCGAGUUCCACAUGCUUUGUACGUUGGUGUUGCACGGGAUUUUCAGACAAAUAAACUGCAGAUAUGUUGUCACAAUAAACAAUGGUUGCUUUGCGAGUUGGGACAAAUAAUUCCAAAAGCAAGUUGCGUAGCCAACUUGUUUCAGCAACAACAUUUGCGACCCCACAAUAUUCAGCUUCGGCGCUUGAUCGUGAUAUAGUAUGUUGCCUUUUCAACGACCAAGAUAUCAAAUUUUCCCCAAGAAAGACACAAUAACCCGAAGUCGAGCGUCGGGAAUUCGGGCANCCCCCCCCCCCCCCCCCAAUCAGCAUCAGAGUAGGCGAUAAGUUGACUUGAUAUGGAGGGAGAGAUAUGAAGACCAAGCUGAAUAGUGCCCUUAAGAUAUCGAAGAACUCGUUUUAGGAAUUUGAAGUGGGGUUCCCGUGGGGCAUGCAUAAAUAGACAUAAUUGUUGUACCGCAUACGUGAGAUCGUGUCUAGUAAUAGUGAGAUACUGUAAGGCACCCGCAAGUUUGCGAUAUAAUGUUCCAUCAGCUAAUAGAUCACCACUGUAUGCACUCAAUUUUGGCGAUGUAUCAACUAGUGUGGCACUUGGUUUGCAAUUAGCCAUGUAAGCACGAAAUAGAAUAUCAGCAGCGUAUGUUUCCUGAGACAGGAAUAACCCGCCAUUUUGGCGUUUGACAUGGAUCCCAAGAAAGUGGUUAGAGCCCCCAAAUCAGACAUAGCAAACUCACGAGAAAGUGUGGCAAUGAUGUUGGUGAGUAGCUUGUCAGAAGAAGCGGUGAGGAUGAUGUCGUCAACGUACAGUAGUAAAUAGGCCAUUUCAUUUCCUUGUUUAUAGACAAAGAGAGAAGUGUCACUAACGAUGCUCCGGAAGCCGCACUUAGUGAUAUAGGUGGAAAAUCUAUCAUACCACGCACGAGGAGCCUGUUUAAGUCCAUACAAUGAUUUUCAUAACCUGCAAACAUGAUUAGGAUAAGUGGCAUCUGUGAAGCCCAUGGGUUGAUACAUGUAAACAGUCUCGUGCAAGUCCUCGUGAAGAAAAGCAUUUUUGACGUCAAUUUGGUGUAUUGGCCAACUCCGGGAAACUGCAAGACUAAGCACCGUUCUGAUGGUGGUUGGUUUAACCACGGGACUAAAAGUCUCUUCACAAUCAAUACCAACUUGUUGACAUUUUCCAUUAACGACAAGCCGAGCUUUAUACCUUUGUAGAGUGCCAUUGGCAUUGAAUUUAUGUCUAAAGAGCCAAUGGCACCGAAUAAUAUUAGCAUUGGACGGCCGAGGUACCAAGUCCCACGUGUGGUUGUCCAUUAAGGCUCGAUAUCCUUCGUGCAUGGCAGUGCACCAAUGAGGAUCAGAUAGGGCCUUGAGGUGAGAAGUGGGUACGGGUGAGAUGGCAUGGGAUGCGGAAGUGUGGAGAUUAAUGGGUUCCCGUGGUUUUAGAGAACCAGACCGGGAGCGGGUUGUCAUGGGAUGGGUGUUAGUANNNNNNNNNNNNNNNNNNNNNNNNNNNNNNNAAGAGGGUUCGGUGCUGAGGGUGGGGCAUUACUGGAGAGUGGUGUAGGCAAGGUGCUGAUAGGUUGGGCAGGAAGUGGGUUUCUUACAGUUGUUGAAGAAGGAACAGGAGGUGUGUGCUUGUUUCGGCGGGGGGGGGGGGGGGGUGGGGGGGGGGGGGGGGGGGGGGGGGGGGGGGGGGGGGGGGGGGGGGGGGGGGGGGGGGGGGGGGGGGGGGGGGGGGGGGNGGGGGUGAGUGGUAUGGAAGGGGAUGAGGUGGGGAUGUUAGGUAUAGGAUCAAAUAAGGUGGGAUAGGGGGCAGACUCCAGGAAGGAGUAGUCAAUAGGUGUAGAUAUGGGUUUAUUUGCGAGAGGAAAAGAGGUUUCAUCGAAUGUUACAUGACGGGAUAAUAUGAUCUUGCCCGUGGAGAGGUCAAGGCACCGAUAGCCAUGGAAAUGGGCCGGAUAACCGAGAAAGACACAAAGUUUGGCACGAAGAUCUAAUUUGUGUGCUCGAGUGGAGGUGGUGUUGGGAUAACACACACAUCCAAACACUCGUAGGUGGCUAUAGUCAGGUUGGCGGAGGUAAAGAGCUGACAUGGGAGUGUGAAAAUUGAGAAGUUUAGUCGGGAGGAUGUUAUGGAGAUAACAGGCCGUAUGUAGAGCCUCGACCCAGAAAUGUGGUGGAAUAGAUGAAUGCGUAAGAAGUACAAGCAUGAUUUCAUUAAGUCUUCGAAUCAUGCGCUCUGAUUUCCCAUUUUGUUGGGAUGUUUGGGGACAAGAAAACCGAAAGUGGAGGCCGUUCGUGUCAGCAAACAGUUUGGAACGAAUGGUUGUCGAAUUCACCCCCUAGAUCACAUUGGAAGGCUUUGAUUGGUAAGUUGAAUUGGGUUUUAAUGUAUUUGUGAAAAGUUGAGAAUUUUGUGAAGGUUUCGGAUUUGAACUUUAACGGAAAUACCCAUGUGUAUUGGGUGUAAUCAUCAAUUAAAACCAUGUAGUAUUUAUAUCCAGUUUUACUUGUUACGGGUGAGGACCACAAGUCACAAUGAAUUAUAUCAAAGGGCAAUAUAGUAGAGGAGGUAGAAAUAGAAAAAGGUAGACGUUUAUGCUUGGAAAUUUGACACAAAUUGCAAACUAAAGUUCGACAACAUUUAUUACAUGGAAUGAUUUUAUUUGAACUAAGAAAAUCCAAAACAGGGAGGCCAGGAUGGCCCAAACGGUCAUGCCAAACAUCUUGAGCACUUGCGGACAGAAAAGUGGAACCCGUGACUGGGUAGGUGAGAGGAUAAAGUUGACUGGAGCUAUUGUGGCGAGAUAUCAUCCGGCCUGUCCGGUAAUCCUUCACAGAAAACCCAUAGGGAUCAAAUUCAACAGAAGCCUUUUUAUCAAUUGAAAAAUUUCUAACUGAAAUAAGGUUUUUAAUGAUAUUUGGGGUGUAAAGGAUAUUUUUAAGGUGCAGGUCUCGAGUGGGUGUUUGAAAAGAUGAGUCACCUGAUCCUUGCACUAGCACACGAGCACCAUUUCCUACAAAUAUAGAACCAAUUGGACAGGAUAACGAGGGAUUUGAAAUUUUACCUUGAUCUCCAGUGAGGUGAUCAGUGGCUCCCGAAUCCAUAUACCACUGUUCAUCAGGUUGUUCCAGAUUCAUUGCUUGAAAAGCUUCACCUGUUUGAGUAGGUUCCAUCGGGUCAUAAGCUGUGAGAUGAGCUUGAUUAUCUGCCAGGCCAUUGGUACGAGAAGCAGGCCUACGAGAAGAAGGAGUCCAAGGCUGGGAUGGUGGACAAUUCCAUGGAGAGUUCCAGCCUGCAGUUGUUGGGUGAGGACAGGGAGGUGGGCUCCAAUAAGCCCAAUAGGGAGCACGAGCAUUUGAGGAAAACCAAGGUUGUGCCUCUGCUUGCUGAAGCUGCUGAGACCUGGGCUGUUGAUUCGUGGGGUUGCGCCUUGGAGCAGAGGAAGAACUACUCUGCUGAGAAUUAGGCCGCUUGCCAUUUGGCAUGUUGCCUUGGCGCCGACGAUUGAAUUGAGUAGAUGGAGCAGAAUGUACAGCAGCCAUGGCUGUGGGUGGGGAUAGGGUCUCACGGGCUAUCUGCCUUUGGUGUUCGAGUUCCAGCAUACUCACAGCCGUCUCCCACGAGGGAAGAGUCUGAUUAAUGUAGGCCGCUGUUGUAUCAUACCCAGCAGGUAAUCCACGGACUAAUUGAAGAACUAAUCAUUGAUUGUUGACAGGGCAGUCCACAUCAUUAAGUCUAUCACCUAGUUCCUUGAGCUUUUGACAAUAUGCUUCGAGGGAUGGCAUGGCUUUCAGAGUGAGAUUGUUGAACUCGUGUUCAAGGGCUGCAGCCCUUGAACCUUUAUUAUUGAGGAAUAUGGUCUGAAUGCAACACCAAGCUUCACGAGCCGUAGACUGAGUUUCAAGGACACGAGUCAGCAGGUCAUCAGAUAGUGUCCCAUAAAUCCAUUGCAGGACGAUUGCAUCGAUUUCGGACCAUGAUUCAUACUCUGGAUCGGUUUCGGCAGGAGGUUUCGUACCAUCAAUAUGUGCCAUGACUUUAUAGCCCUUGGCAUGAAGCUGGAAUAACUUAACCCAUGAUGAGUAGGAGACCUUCAAGCCAUCGAGAACCCUGACCUUGUGUUGAAUAUUGGCCACAGUAUACACAGGGUGCAAGGUUUUGGCGACAACAGUGGAUGAGGCUUCCAGCUUUUCAGACAUGAGAACAGGUUGGAAAAAGAAAAAAAUAACAGAGAAAAGAAAAUAGUAGGAGGUGCAGAUCGUGAUCUGCAGGUAAGGAUUUUAGGUAGAGAGCGAUGGCUCUGAUACCAUGAACGCAAUUGAAUUUCGCCUCCCUUCAUUCCACAGCAGAAAACGUACAUAUACAGGGAGAUAGAUAUAAAAUAGGAAAUUACAAUCUUCUAAUUUUGGAGCAAUAUCUUGACUAGGUAUAUAAAUACCCUACUAAUAUACAGCUAAUGAUAUACAACUAAUAUACAGCUAAUACCAAGAUGUCAUCUGUGAAGAUUAAUUAAUUUUCCUGCCUCAUUUUAUGUUAGUCUUACAUGUUUUAUCAUUCCUCGCAUAAUCUUACUUUGUCGAUUUCGCCCUAGCUGCACAAUGUAAGAAAUUGUAUCCCAAAUGUUGAUCUAGCUCCUUGGUAACUUCAAGACCGAGGUUACCCAAUGUUUUGCACAUUCCGCAAAAUAUGAAUAUUUUUUCUUAAAUAUGAUUGAUUUUUUAACUUUUUAUUUAUCUACCAAAGCAUAUUGGUUUUCUUGAAAUUUUCCAAAUUAUAAAAAAGAAGAUAAAGCUCUUAUCAUCACGACCUACAUAUGCCUUCCAUAGGGUUAAUUGCCUUUUCUUUUACACAGUUACUUCUUUAUUUCUUCUUAUAGCCCUUGACAUGAAUUCCUUUUUCCAGCAAAGGCACAAGUGCAUAAGUUCAUUGCUUAUUUUAGGCUGAAUUGACUUUCUACACAUUUGGUUUUUCUAAUUUUUUCUACUGUCAAGUUGUGUUAUCAUAUGGAUCUGUCUUGUACUUAAGAUUGUUAUAUCUUUUUUUUUCAUCUUAUUUUCAGUGGUACACUUUGUUGAAUCAGAAGGCAUAUAUAUUAACUCUUAUAACUUGUUCUCCUUGCUUAUUCAUAAAAUUUGAUGCCAGGUUGUUUUGAUUUAACAAAAUACAUUGUGGAUGGGUAAUUGCAGCUAUCGGGGAGGCAAUUUUUUUAUAGAAAAAUGUGCACUUUGAAUCGGUUUUAUUGAAUUUUUUUGGUCAGAUUUGUAUGUAAAUAGGACUGCAUAUUUGGGUGCUUUCAUGGUCCAUGGAUCAUAUAUAUAUAUAUAUANNNNNNNNNNNNNNNNNNNNNNNNNNNNNNNNNNNNNNNNNNNNNNNNNNNNNNNNNNNNNNNNNNNNNNNNNNNNNNNNNNNNNNNNNNNNNNNNNNNNNNNNNNNNNNNNNNNNNNNNNNNNNNNNNNNNNNNNNNNNNNNNNNNNNNNNNNNNNNNNNNNNNNNNNNNNNNNNNNNNNNNNNNNNNNNNNNNNNNNNNNNNNNNNNNNNNNNNNNNNNNNNNNNNNNNNNNNNNNNNNNNNNNNNNNNNNNNNNNNNNNNNNNNNNNNNNNNNNNNNNNNNNNNNNNNNNNNNNNNNNNNNNNNNNNNNNNNNNNNNNNNNNNNNNNNNNNNNNNNNNNNNNNNNNNNNNNNNNNNNNNNNNNNNNNNNNNNNNNNNNNNNNNNNNNNNNNNNNNNNNNNNNNNNNNNNNNNNNNNNNNNNNNNNNNNNNNNNNNNNNNNNNNNNNNNNNNNNNNNNNNNNNNNNNNNNNNNNNNNNNNNNNNNNNNNNNNNNNNNNNNNNNNNNNNNNNNNNNNNAACAAGACUAGUACAAAAAUGACCUACGGAUACACCAUAAAAAUGUGACCAUAUGCGUAUAGUGACAUUUUAUUUUUUCACUGAAAGUGUGAUAGAAGGUGGCGUCAUUGUAUGGGUCUUAUGGUCACUUUAAAAUGUAGUAUCCGUAUGAUAUGAAAAAAUCUAGUUGUAUCAUAAAAGUGUGGCAAUUGGGUAGGGAAUUUUGUUGCUAUAAUCAAUAAUUUUAUCCAAUAUUGUGGCGAUAAACCGUCAGUAGACACUUUUUUAGCAAUUAUAGUGACUGUAUAUCACCAACUGGCGACAUACAUGUUAUUUCAAUGUGGCGUUUUGCUAGUAAAUUGUCAUACAAUUCAAAGUUUAUUAAAGAUUAUUAGGUAUGUUUUGCAGACAUACAAUUAUAGUGAACAUGACCAUGAUCACUAAAUGAUCACAUGUAAUUAGUUUCAUAAAUAACAAUUUGCUAAUGAUUAGUCACAAAAACAAUAUUUUAGUGUGACUAUUGCUUAUCGUAUAGAGACACACAUUUAAGUGAAACAUGAUCAUAAGUAUUAUAAAGAAACACAUUUUAUUAAAAUUAUGGAUUUGAUAUUAGCUUGCAUCCAUGUUUAUAUUACUUAUCAUAACCGAUACUAUCAUUCGAUAUAUAAAAAAUCGUAACUAUGACUAUUUUAUAUCGUUUCGACAUAGACAAUCAAUCAAGAAUAACCAUAAUUGAUUUGUAGAUACAUUGGUGUGACUAACAUUUAUAUAAAGCCACAUAAAAUAUUGUAGUUAUGGUGUGACUAAUAUUUAUAUAGAGUCACAUGAAUUUUGUUUAAUAUGGUGAAACUAAUGUUUAUGUAAAGCUCCAUAUAUCAAUGGAAAUGUUAUCCAUUUUAUUUCCAAUUUUUUGUAAAAUAAAAACAGUAGUAAACAUGAUAAAACUUAAAAAGAGAAUGAUAUUAACAUUAAUAAUAAAAAAUCAAUACAUAAGUUUUCAAUUUAAAUAGUUAAGACAUUAACUUGUAAUCAAAAGAUAUAUAUUGAAGGCUUUACACAUAAACUAAGAACUAUUUCUCCAUCAAUUUUGGUUUGUUCACCUUACUGUUGCUCCUUGUCUGUUUCAUGCCCUCUAACGGUGUAUACGUUUUCUUUUUUACUCUGAAAAAAUAACAAGUUCAAACAUAUGAAUCUAAAAUGGCAUAAAAUAAGUGUAUACAGAAGAAAGAUAGAUCUGGAGAAUAUUCGAAGAGAUUUUCAAGCAAGACGAAGUGCAUAUAAAAGAACAAGCCUACAUGAAUCUAAAAUGGCAUAAAAGAAGUGUAUAUAAAAGAACAAGUCUACAUGAACCCCUUUUUGGCUCUUGCCUAUAGUAAAGCAUCCUCGCGAGAAGAUGCAUUUGCAUGAAAAUGAUCUCUAGAAUAUAAUUAUGGGCACAACCACCAUCCACGCAUAAAUAUGAAACCCACAAUCAUAUUAAAAUGUGUUAAAAAAGACUAAUAUCAAAUUUGAUUUAAGAUAACAUUAGAAGAAAAGAACCACUGGUUUUACGGAUACGGUGAAGAUACGAUAAUAUAUUAAAGAAAUUCCAAAAUAGAUAUAUAUUGAUGUAAAGUGUAAACUCCAAAAUACUAAAUCUUUCAAAGGUGUAGGUGUGGUUGAAGAUUCUUGAAGAGUUAAAAGUCAGAAUAAUCUUUCAAAGGAACAGUUCCAUACACACAUAUUCUCAUACCAAGCUUAACUUUGUGUCUGGAAUGCAUCUACUUUGGAUCCCAACUUCAUACAAGCCAUUUUUGCUGCUGAAAAUAAAAAUCAAACCUGCAACAAACAACAGAUCCUCUAUAACCUACAACAGUAAACCCCAUUGUUUCUCCAAUGAAGUCAAAUAAAUACAAAUCAAAAUCCAAGAACCCUAGAAAUUCGAUCAAUAAGCAGAACCAAACAUCAGAAACCACAAAAUUUAGCAUAAAUCGACCAAGAUAAAUCCCAAAUUAGAAAAUGAAAACGAUGUAAACUGAGCUUUAACCAUUUAGUAAAUUCAAAUCAAUUUGAAUUAAAAGGUUAGUUUUAUUUGUAACUUACGGCACAGAAGGGCAUUUUCAUAAAAUUUUGAAAGAGGAACGACCUUUGUUUGUUGUAUUUUUCUUAUACAUCCAAUUGCCAAGCCUGAGACAGGGACCUAAAAGUCUUUAUUUAGAUGCCUAUAUUUUAUGUCCCCACAAGAGAAAAAAAAUAUUCUCGAUUGUAUUUUUAAUGACAUCUUUACCUGAAGGAAGGGCUGAAUGUCUGAUCGGUGGAAUAUUCACGUUAAAAAUAAUGUUUGAGAGGAAUCAAUAAUUCAGAAAGAUACAAAAUUUGACGUUGCCCCUUAAUCGAUUGUUAAUGCACAUCUCUUAAACUUCUUCUGUAUCUUUUCGGCUACGUCUGUUUCAGGAAAACGCAAAAUUAUACGGAGGCAGAACGAAGGCGAUAUUUCGAGCGAGAGAGAGACAAUAAGAAUUGAGUGGCCUGAGGUGAUCCAUUAGAUAUAUUGACGAAGAGAGGCAGACAGGAGAGGUUAAAGAAAAUAUGUUUUUUGCGUUUGUGGAUUUCGGUUUCCCAGCCACGCAUAAACAAAAUUAGGGUUUAAAAAUGGGGCAAUGAAUUGGGAGAAGCGGCAAAAUAAAAUUGGGAGCGGGAGAGCUAAAAUUAUAAAAAUAUUUGAGGAAAAAUGGUUUUGCACGUAUAUAUUAACAUUACACUUAUUUAUAAUUCAACUAAUUAUCAUUUAUACAUAUUAAAUGAAUGUUAGAUGAAAUAUUCAUACACCGAUUCUUGUAAAUUUAUAUAUAUUUAAAUUGUAUUGAUAUGUAACUGAGUUUUUUAGUUUAGUUUAUCUUACUAUAUAGUAAUACAUAUGUUUUUCUUUUGUAUUUUCAAUUUUAGUAUACUUUUUUUCAUUUUAAAAUGAUAACAUGAAAUAUUUGUAUCUAAAAAUUGAGUUGUAGUUGUGGUGGAGGAGGCGGUAUUAAUGGUGGUGGGGGUGGUAGCGGUAAAGGUAGAGGUGGAGAUGGUGAUGUGGCGGUGGUGGUGGAGUUGGAGGCGGUGGUGAUUGUAGUUUUGGUGAGAGAGAUGAUGGCGGCGACAGAGGUGGUGACAUUAGUAGAUGUGGAGAAGGUGUUGGUGGUGACGUGGUCGUGGUUGUUGUGGCAAAGGAUGAAGAGAUGACAGAGUAGGAGAGGUGGCAGUGGUGAUGCGGUAGAGGCGGUGAUGGCAGAGACGUUAUAAUUUAGGGCUUAAGGUGUAGGGUAUAGGGCUUAGACGUUAUAAUUUAGGGCUUAAGGUUUAUGGCUUAAGCCUUAAGCUCUAACCCGUAAGUUAUACGUCAUAAGCCUUAAGUUAUAAGUCAUUAGCCACAAGUCAUAACCCAUAAUCCAUAAGCAACAAGCUCGGGGCAAUAAACUCAAAGGGUUAAGCAAUAAGAAAUAAGUCAUGAGACUAAUUUGUAAGCCUUACUUCUUAGUCCAUAAACAUAACUCAUAACCUCUAAGCCUUAAUCCUUAAUUCUUAAUUCGUAAGCCAUUGCCCAUAACCAUAACCAUAAGCCACAAGCCUUAAGGCAUAACCUAUAAAACAUAAGCCCUAAACCUUGACACAUAUUCAUUAAACAAUAAACCACAAGAAUAACACCUCAAUCCAUAAGCGCUAAUCUAUACCAUAAGGCACAAGCCCGGAGCCCUACGUUGUACGCCCUAAGCCCUAAGCCAUAAGUCAUAAGUCAUAAGCCUAAUCGAUAACCCAUAAGCCAUUAACCAUUAUUUAUAAGUCAUGAUUCCUAAGUGUUAAAUUCAUAAGUAGUGAUACACCCUAAGCCACAAUUUAUAAGUCAUGAUUCUUUUAACAUUUUUGUUACCACUUUUUUGUUAAAACAACAUUAUAGGUGGUCCCCGCUUGACCUACCAAAACUAAAUCGACCUCACCCCUACCACAUGCUAACCGUGAGAUGCCUUUUAUGUUUACCUUUUCUUGUCAUAUUCUGUGGUCACAUAAAACAAACCCACAAAUCAUAAACUUGUAUGAUCAUAUAAAACAAAUCCCUUUUAUGACAUGAUAAUAAAAUGAUAAUAGCAUGAAACGGCGUGCCAACGACGUGUCCGUGUUUAAAAUUCGUGUAUAUUUAAUACCAUUCUAUAUUGUUUUAUGUUAUUUUUUGUCGUGUUUAAAAGUGAUGAUAUUAUUUUAUUCGUGUUUUUCAUGAUUUUAUUGUGGCGUGCUCAUGUUAACGAAAUAACACGCUAUCUUGUCGUGUUGUGUCUGGAUUGAAAACAAAUAAUAUGUUCGAUGUCGUGUAAAAAAUACAAACAAUCAUCCGAAUUUCCACCCCUAUUGAAACCACUUGAUGGUCAUCACAAUAUACAUCACAAUUCUAUAAAUCAAAAUUUAAAAUAUAAAAUGUAUAUUUAUCGUGAAUGAAAUUUUUGUUUCCCUCUAAAAUAUUUUCUUAAUUAAUCUUAGUUCCCCUCUUAAUAUAAUUAAUUUUUAUUUAAAUUUCCCUCCGAAAAAAUAAAAAAUUUGAUUUCCCUCUACUCAAACUACAAAUUUUCCAAAUUUGACCUUUCUGCGAAAUACAUACAAAUAACCAGCUCUAGGAAGGGCGCCUUUCUUUUUUACUCUACAAUUUAGAUCUGAUCUCUUUCAACUUCUCGACAGUUUCAAAUCAACGUUAGGUGCUCCCAACUCUACACAACGCGCCAUUCGUCUCCUUCCCAAAGUCGAUAAUCAUCUCCAUCCAAGGUAGUCCACUACAAGGCAUAAUUUAUCGCACAAGGCGUCGUUCAUCUCUUUCCAAAAUACGUACACGGGAGCCUUAUUUUUCAUUUCCUUUAAUCAACAAACCCUUCUUCUCUAUCCUACCCAUUUCUCCUCCAUCUGUAAUAUCCCGUCUGCCCCCUCCAAUCUGCAACGCCGCCACCACCAGCUUCCCCUCAACCUCUGGCAGCUUCGACAGCCCUGCCUCCGCGUCCGCAGACUUCUGCAGGUGAGGGUUUUCUUUUCCUUUACAUAUGAAAAUCGAGUCCAAUGAACUUUUUUCCCCUGAAAAUUGACUAUCAGAUGCCUAUAUUUAGUUGCUUUCUUUUUUCUUUUCUUUUUCCUUUGAAAAUCGAGUUCAAGAUAUUAUGGUUUUUUUGCUCUAUUUUUUUUUGAAAUAAGAUACCCUUUUCUGAUGUAGAUGUUGAGUUUCCUUGAUAUUGAAAUCAUAUGUGGUUUCUCUUUGAGCUGAAUCAAAUGCACACGAAAAUCUGUUAUGACAAUGUUUUCUGCAAAUCAAAUAUUAUUUUCUUUUUUGCUGAAAUAUGAAACUUGAUGUUAUGAUGGUUGAGAUGCUUCAAAUGUUGAAAUACCCUUUAAGUAUUGAAAUGUUGCUUGUAAUUAACUUGAAAUUGAAACAAAUUUGUAUGAAUUUUUUGGUUACGGAUUCAUUAAUAAUAAAACAUGAUACAUGGAAUUGAUAGAAAUCAUAAGAAAUUUAGUUAGUGUCUAAAGGUGAGUGAAGUUUGAACUUCAACACUUAUUAAUCCAACAACAUUCCAUUAACCGAAAUUAAUAUCAAGUUUAUAACUUACAUUCAACAUUCUCUACUAUAGGACAAAUGAAGAUUGGGUAGUUAUUGAUCUAGUGUCUAAUCGAGAUUAAGAUUUUUGAAUUGAAAGCUAAUGAAUAUGUAUGAUAGGGCUAAUCAGUGAGUGGUUCCAUUUUGUUGCAUAUUAAAAUUUAUGCAUCACAACUAGUAUAAGAACUUGUCAAUCGAGAAUUUUUUUUUUUACAUGAAGGGGAGAUAUUGUUGUUGGAACUUGGAAAUGUUUCUAAUAGAGAUCAUUCCUAAUACAUAGAUUCCUGAAAUUUUGAUAGAUUAUGAUAAGAUUUGUAACAAUUUGGUAAGUUUGUUAGAGUUCAGAUGUAGAUUAAGAAUUAAGCACCAAAAUAAUCCCAUAGUAUUCUUGAUGUUUACUAGUGUGAAGUUCUGACUUCCUUAGUAGACCUUAGCUUAAUGGAUAUUUUGGAGUUGAUUGUUGAUUUGUUAAUUGUUAGUUACAUUUUGGUAUUGAUUUGUUAAUUUCCGUUGUUUAGAAGUUGUAGUAUUUUUUUCUCCAAACUUUCAUAUAAAUUUUCAUUGCUUGGGGUCUAGUUCGAUUUUUCAGGUAUCCUACCGGGUUCCAGGUUGGGCUUGGGGAAAAGUUCAAUUCUGAUGAGAUACCCGUUGGGUAUCGGGUCGGGUAUGAGAAUAAUUUUUGAUACCGGGUUCGAGGAUGGGAUACCUAACCUCAUUGCCAUUCCUAGCUCUAUUCCCUAAGACCUGUAAUAUAAACAAAAUGAAUCAGUUUACUCAUAUUUACCAUUUUCAUCUAUACUAAGCAUGUUGGUCAAAAUUACCAUAACUAAAUGCAUCUUACACUCACAAUAAUUGUUUUUUUAAGUCAAUGUAACAUAUUUCGGCACACAUAAUAAAAUACACAUGAUCAUAAACCACUAAAAGUUACUUGUUUUCUUGUUUUUAGUAUGUCACUAGUAGACACCACCAUAUGAACACACAAAUAUUUAAUGUGACCAUAUGUAUCAACUAUUAGCUACAUUACAUUUCAUGUGUCAAAAAAGACGCCACGAUACAGAAACAUAUACAAUUGACUCAUAUCACAAUAUAUUUACCUCUUGUCUCAUAAAAAAAAGUAUCAUAAUGUUAAUCAAUAAUCAUGGCUGAUGGUGACAUGUGGCCACAGUGUUCGAGUGUGGCUAAUAAUUGUCAUAUUUGGUAUAGUUAAGUGUGGUUAAAGUUUUGAUUAUCUAUACAAUGACCACACAAGCUAAUUUAAAUGUAUCCAAAAGUAGGCUGUAAAUUUUUUUUAGAUAGGCCAUUUUUUGAAAAGUGUGACCGUAUGUCAUUUUUGUACUAGUGCAAUAAUAAAAGGUUCCAACUUUUCAUAUAGUAUAUACAAGUUUUCAGCAUUACAGACAUCAAAUAAAGUCAGUGUAAUGGUAAAGGUGUUGCCCUUAACACCCAAAGGUCGCACAUACGAAUAAUGUAAUCCCCAAGAGUGUGUUUUUCAAACAAGCUUAAAAAGUUGGCGUGUCAGCGACAUAGUCAAACUAGACGUGGUUUGCCAUGUAUGUAAGCAACUUGUUUUUUUUUUUUUAACGACGAUAUUAGUAUUUGUCUGGGAUUAAACUCAAGACCUCCUGGUUAGAAACCCUAGUUAGACAUCUUGACUGUAAGCAACUUGUAACCGACAAAACCUGCUGAAAAGCUAUAAACGAAAAAAAUUAAACAAAACUAGCUAUAAACGAAAAAAUUAAACAAAACUUCUGUAAGCAACUUGUGACCGAGAAAACCUUCUAAAAAGCUAUAAACGAAAAAACUAAACAAAACGAUAUUUAUAACCUAAAAUAGGUCAAAGGGUAAAACCAAAGAAUUUCUCAAAAUAACUUAAUGACUUUUAUUUCAUUAGCCCUAUUAGCUAAAAGCUUGUUUUUUAAACAAGCUUAAAAAGCUACCAUGUCGGCGCCAUAUCCGGCUCAACGCCAUGCCUGUUGAUUGAGCCUAGUUCGCGUCGACGUUGUUUGCCGCGUCUUUAAGCAACUUCUUUUAAUCGGAAAAACUUGCAUACUAAAACGGUAUAAACGAAAAAAUUAAACAAAUCUUUCAGUUUCACUAGACCGAAAAUACAUCAAAAGGUAAGACCAAACAUUUCCUGAAAACUUUAAAGGCUUUUAUAUUAUUAGAGUAUUUAUUAACAUAUAACCCAAAUGUAAAAGCAAGAAUCAAAAGUUUGCAUGCGCCCAUUAUCAUGCCAAUCUAUGAAUAUGAGGAAACAAAUUAAUAUCACACGUAAAAUAAAAUCAGAACUAAUAAAAUAAUAAGAGAAGUUAUUCGUACAUAACAGUUUUUUGCCAUACACAAAAAUUUAUACAUUAUAUAGUUUUACAAUACAAUAUUUUAAAGAACUAAUUGUCGUNCUGCUUACACUUUAAUGUUGAUUUUUUUAUUUUAUUUUUUUUUUUUUUUUUAAAUUAACCCGUAUAAUAUACGGUUCUCACACAUAGUAAAAUAAUAAUGUAAAAGAUUAAAAAAGUUUACUAAGAAAAUUAAAGCAACAUAUUUAAUUAUUAAAUAUUAAUUGAAACUAAUAAUAUAAUAAUUAUAUUAAUAUAAUGAUUAAUAAAUAAUAAUCAUCGAAGUAAUAAUUAAAAUAAAAAAUGUAUAUAUAAUGUUAAUCUAUUAAGAAAAGUAAAAUUAACUAUUAAUUAUUAAUAAUUUACUUUUACAAACUACAACUAAUUAAUUAUUAGUAUUUAAUUUCGCAAUCUGCUAAUAAAAUAAUUAUUAAAAAGAUAUGAUAAGUAAAAAUGCAAUCUGAUAUAUUGGAACUCAAGACAAAACUGCACAGACAAAGUUCAGGAAAUGAGCAAGAAGGUAGGAGUUCUUAGGCGGCUAUAGCUAACAACUGCGCGCCACUCUCUUUUCUUACCAAUUUCCUUUACUCGGACUAUAUCGUUGACUAAAACAAUUGGUCAAUGUUCGAACAAACCAUUGGGGGAAUGAUCGUGUAUAAAUAGAUCCUUCAUAAAUGGUUACUUACACAUUCAUAUUCAUUCAAUCAUUGAAAAAAUGGCCUCAAUCUUAAAAGGAGGAAGACUUACCUUGGCUCUUAUCAUCCUCAUCGUCAUUAGUUCAUCAUCUCACAUCAUUACAACCACCGCCACUGCUCGGACUCCAUACAACCAUGAACGCCAACUAGGUUCGGUUUUCUCUAAACAUCUCAUAGUUAAUAAUAAAAAAAACGCUAAUAGAAGCUGCUCCGGUAUUUCUUAUAAAUUAACUAAGGUUGCAUUGUAAAUACGUGUAGUUAAUUUUUUUUUUCUUUUAAAUAAGAAAACAGUUUCAUUUUAUCUUACUUUCGGAGUUGUAGGGUUAUAUUCUUAUGAUUUUGUUUUCUAUAUUUAUUUCAUUCGUGUAAUUACUAUCAAUAGUCAAUAGCUAAUUUGUUUUCCAUUCAUCACCGGUUUUCCAGAUUUUCUGAUCAAACUAACCUUAUAUAAGAGUGCGUAUGUACAACUUGUCCUUCCCUAAUUAAAGAUUAAAAAUAUUAGAAAUUGAUGUAUGCAGCUACAAAUUGCGAUUAUGACCCCAUACAACAAAAUGAUGGACCCGACGGGUGUGGAAGUGGAAGUGGAAGUGGAAGUGGUGGAUCACCAAAACCAAAACCAAUACCAUGCGGUUCAAUGCCAGGUAGGAGCCUUUGUAGGAAGGGUUGCUGUGGAAAGACUAAAAUGGGAAGGGCCGAAUGUUGCUAGUAGUACCGGAGGUUGUACUACAUCACAUAAUGUAUCUGAAUCCCUUGUUUGGAUCAGAAAAUAAUAUUUCAAAUCAUUUCCACCCUCUGCUUUUCCUUAAAUUCUAUAUGUAAGUCUACAAAAAUUUUAUAUCCAGUUGUUCGAAUCUGGAGGAAAAGAUUCUAUCAUUAUAUUUGUCAAGAUGGUUCACAACUUUAGUAGAAGAAAACAGAAAUCAAACAUGGCUAGCUAACUUCAACUUGCACAAGUGGCAUGAGCUUCAUCCACGUAACUUUAGAUCCCAUAUCGACCUGAAAAUGUUGGUUAAUUUAAUGCUGAAUCAAGAUGGAAAUAUGGGUUGUUUGUAUAAGACCAAUAUCCUAAAACGGAGACUAACCAUUAAAGGCUAAUCAUGAUGGUGAUGUGGCAAUGAGCUAUUCGAAGGAACGACUGUGCACACCAUCAUGAAGGUUGACCGGUUAUGCAGUCAGAAUUGUAACAAAUUGAUAAAACGAGUGUCUAAUUUAAGAUUAAAAAAAAAUAGUCUCGAAAUCAGAUUUUUAUGAAAACUUAAUUACCAUAAUUUGCAAUAUUUAAAAUUUUGUGAACAUAAAUAUCAAGUGUUGGGUUGAAAAUUGAAACCAUAACAAUAGACAUAACUUAAUGUCUAUUUGAAUGAGUAAUUGAAGUUGCAAUGUAAACGUAAAC